UUGCCUCAGUAACGGCGAGUGAAGCGGCAACAGCUCAAAUUUGAAAUCUGGCCGUUCGGCGGUCCGAGUUGUAAUUUGUAGAGGAUGCUUCGGGUGCGGCGCCGGUCUAAGUUCCUUGGAACAGGACGUCAUAGAGGGUGAGAAUCCCGUAUGUGACCGGUGACCCAACCCGUGUGAAGCUCCUUCGACGAGUCGAGUUGUUUGGGAAUGCAGCUCUAAAUGGGUGGUAAAUUUCAUCUAAAGCUAAAUACCGGCCAGAGACCGAUAGCGCACAAGUAGAGUGAUCGAAAGAUGAAAAGCACUUUGGAAAGAGAGUUAAAAAGUACGUGAAAUUGUUGAAAGGGAAGCGCUUGCGACCAGACUCGCUCGCGGGCGAUCAGCCGUCCUUUUGGGCGGUGCACUCGCCCGUGAUUGGGCCAGCAUCGGUUCGGGCGGCCGGAUAACGGCCCCGGGAAUGUGGCUCCCCUCAGGGAGUGUUAUAGCCCGGGGCGCAAUGCGGCCCGCCGGGACCGAGGACCGCGCUUCGGCUAGGAUGCUGGCGUAAUGGUCGUAAGCGACCCGUCUUGAAACACGGACCAAGGAGUCUAACAUCUGUGCGAGUGUUUGGGUGUCAAACCCAUGCGCGGAAUGAAAGUGAACGGAGGUGGGAACCCUUCAGGGCGCACCAUCGACCGAUCCUGAUGUCUUCGGAUGGAUUUGAGUAAGAGCAUAGCUGUUGGGACCCGAAAGAUGGUGAACUAUGCCUGAAUAGGGUGAAGCCAGAGGAAACUCUGGUGGAGGCUCGCAGCGGUUCUGACGUGCAAAUCGAUCGUCAAAUUUGGGUAUAGGGGCGAAAGACUAAUCGAACCAUCUAGUAGC
rnacentral:rRNA from 1 species